rnacentral:rRNA from 1 species
ACUGGAACUGAGACACGGUCCAGACUCCUACGGGAGGCAGCAGUGAGGAAUCUUCCACAAUGGGGGCAACCCUGAUGGAGCAACGCCGCGUGCAGGAUGAAGGCCUUCGGGUCGUAAACUGCUUUUAUAAGUGAGGAAUAUGACGGUAACUUAUGAAUAAGGAUCGGCUAACUACGUGCCAGCAGCCGCGGUCAUACGUAGGAUCCGAGCGUUAUCCGGAGUGACUGGGCGUAAAGAGUUGCGUAGGUGGUUUGUUAAGUAGGUAGUGAAAUCUGGCGGCUCAACCGUACAGGCUAUUACCUAAACUGGCAAACUCGAGAAUGGUAGAGGUCACUGGAAUUUCUAGUGUAGGAGUGAAAUCCGUAGAUAUUAGAAGGAACACCAAUGGCGUAGGCAGGUGACUGGACCAUUUCUGACACUGAGGCACGAAAGCGUGGGGAGCGAACCGGAUUAGAUACCCGGGUAGUCCACGCCGUAAACGAUGGAUACUGGCUGUUUGGGGUAUCGACCCCCCAAGUAGCGAAGCUAACGCGUUAAGUAUCCCGCCUGUGGAGUACGGUCGCAAGACUAAAACAUAAAGGAAUUGACGGGGACCCGCACAAGCGGUGGAUCGUGUUCUUUAAUUCGAUGAUAAACGGAGAACCUUACCAGGGCUUGACAUCCAGGGAAGCACUGCGAAAGCAGCGUGUGCCUUUUGGAACCCUGUGACAGGUGUUGCAUGGCCGUCGUCAGCUCGUGUCGUGAGAUGUUUGGUUAAGUCCAUCAACGGGCGCAACCCUUGUGAAUAGUUGUAUUUUUCUAUUCAAACUGCCCCGGCAACGGGGA